rnacentral:rRNA from 1 species
GAUGAACGCUGGCGGCGUGCCUAAUACAUGCAAGUCGAGCGAACAGACGAGGAGCUUGCUCCUCUGACGUUAGCGGCGGACGGGUGAGUAACACGUGGAUAACCUACCUAUAAGACUGGGAUAACUUCGGGAAACCGGAGCUAAUACCGGAUAAUAUAUUGAACCGCAUGGUUCAAUAGUGAAAGACGGUUUUGCUGUCACUUAUAGAUGGAUCCGCGCCGCAUUAGCUAGUUGGUAAGGUAACGGCUUACCAAGGCAACGAUGCGUAGCCGACCUGAGAGGGUGAUCGGCGCCACUGGAACGUAGCCACGGUCCAGACUCCUACGGGAGGCAGCAGUAGGCAACGUGCCGCAAUGGGCGAAAGCCUGACGGAGCAACGCCGCGUGAGUGAUGAAGGUCUUCGGAUCGUAAAACUCUGUUAUUAGGGAAGAACAAAUGUGUAAGUAACUAUGCACGUCUUGACGGUACCUAAUCAGAAAGCCACGGCUAACUACGUG